ensembl:snoRNA
AUGCACAUUUUAUUGUCUUUUUUCUUUCACAUCAAGAGAAAAGAUAUUUCUGUUGUGCUAAACAAACUUGGAGGUAAAUUAGCAGCAUGACUAUUUUAGUCAUUGCUGUCAGUCACCUUCAGACAAGU